rnacentral:rRNA from 1 species
UACGGGGGGAGCAAGCGUUGUUCGGAUUUACUGGGCGUAAAGGGCGCGUAGGCGGUCAGCACAAGUCAGUUGUGAAAUCUCCGGGCUUAACUCGGAAAGGUCAACUGAUACUGUGCGACUAGAGUGCAGAAGGGGGCAACUGGAAUUCGUCGGUGUAGCGGGUGAAAUGCGUAGAUAUCGAGAGGAACACCUGCGGCGAAGGCGGGUGCUGGGCUGACACUGACGCUGAUGCGCGAAAGCCAGGG